CUUAUUUGAAAAGACAUCAUUGGUUAAUAUUCCCUUUUGCUCAUUGAAAUCUCAAAGACUACAGGUGUGGUGCAAUUCCAUUAGAUGAAAGAGAUCUACACAUUCAGAAGCACAUGAUUCUUCCCCCUUCCAUGAUUCCAGUGGCCAAUAGAAUGGAGUGUAGUGGCGUGAUCUUGGCUCACAACAACUUCCGCUUCCCACAUUCAAGCGAUCCUCCCACCUUAUACUCCUGAGUAGCUGGAACCACAGACAAACUACAAUAAAGCCAUGCCCUGACUGGAUGUGCCUAACAUUUGUCUGGUGCUUAAAGGAGUUGGCUGCAUGCAUGGGAUGGAGAAGGAUUCAACAUUUAAUGGCAGUUAGAAUCAAAUUUUUAACGCAAGAAGGCAGAAGGAAUCCACCGAAAUAAAUGUUGGAAAGUCACCAAAAAUAGUUCUCCAAGUCAGAAGCGGUGCAAAAGCUGCCUCAGCUCUUGGUGGAUUUUCAAUUUCUCCCAGCCAUCUCUGUUUCUCUAAAGGUUUCUGAAGACAGUGGGUAUGUGGCAAAAUUCUGCAAUUCUAUAUUAAGAUAAACUGUUAGAUCAA
rnacentral:lncRNA from 1 species